rnacentral:rRNA from 1 species
UCCAGACUCCUACGGGAGGCAGCAGUGGGGAAUAUUGGGCAAUGGGCGCAAGCCUGACCCAGCAACGCCGCGUGAAGGAAGAAGGCUUUCGGGUUGUAAACUUCUUUUGUCAGGGACGAAGCAAGUGACGGUACCUGACGAAUAAGCCACGGCUAACUACGUGCCAGCAGCCGCGGUAAUACGUAGGUGGCAAGCGUUAUCCGGAUUUACUGGGUGUAAAGGGCGUGUAGGCGGGGAGGCAAGUCAGAUGUGAAAUCCCAAGGCUCAACCUUGGAACUGCAUUUGAAACUGUUGGUCUUGAGUAUCGGAGAGGCAGGCGGAAUUCCUAGUGUAGCGGUGAAAUGCGUAGAUAUUAGGAGGAACACCAGUGGCGAAGGCGGCCUGCUGGACGACAACUGACGGUGAGGCGCGAAAGCGUGGGGAGCAAACAGGAUUAGAUACCCGGGUAC